rnacentral:tRNA from 1 species
AGGUCUAAGGACUAUUAAAUCCAAAGUCCGACUUGCAAUCAGACAUAUUACUAGACC